GAUGAAGAACGUAGUGAAAUGCGAUAAGUAAUGCGAAUUGCAGAAUUCCAGUGAGUCAUCGAAUCUUUGAACGCACAUUGCGCCCCUUGGUAUUCCAUGGGGCAUGCCUGUUCGAGCGUCAUUUGUACCUUCAAGCUUUGCUUGGUGUUGGGUGUUUGUCCCGAGGGACUCGCCUUAAAGUAAUUGGCAGCCAGUGUUUGGUUUUGAAGCGCAGCACAAGUCGCGAUUCAAGGCUACACGCCCGCUUCCACAAGCCUUUUUUCACUUUUGACCUCGGAUCAGGUAGGGAUACCCGCUGAACUUAAGCAUAUCAAUAAGCGGAGGA
rnacentral:misc_RNA from 1 species